rnacentral:rRNA from 1 species
ACUGAACGCUGGCGGCAUGCCUUACACAUGCAAGUCGAACGGUAACAGGUCUUCGGAUGCUGACGAGUGGCGAACGGGUGAGUAAUACAUCGGAACGUGCCUAGUAGUGGGGGAUAACUACUCGAAAGAGUGGCUAAUACCGCAUGAGAUCUACGGAUGAAAGCAGGGGAUCGCAAGACCUUGUGCUACUAGAGCGGCCGAUGGCAGAUUAGGUAGUUGGUGGGAUAAAAGCUUACCAAGCCGACGAUCUGUAGCUAGUCUGAGAGGACGAUCAGCCACACUGGGACUGAGACACGGCCCAGACUCCUACGGGAGGCAGCAGUGGGGAAUUUUGGACAAUGGGCGCAAGCCUGAUCCAGCAAUGCCGCGUGCAGGAUGAAGGCCUUCGGGUUGUAAACUGCUUUUGUACGGAACGAAAAGCCCUGGGUUAAUACCCUGGGGUCAUGACGGUACCGUAAGAAUAAGCACCGGCUAACUACGUGCCAGCAGCCGCCGUAACAC